rnacentral:lncRNA from 1 species
CGGGGACAGCAAGGUCGUCCAUCAAAACACAUGGCUCAGUACAAAGCUGAGUUGGUGUACUUGCUUGAAUGAAGCAAAAAACAUCUUUAAUGAUCUGGGUUGGUGUAGGACAGGGGAGGGAAACUUCUUAUCCUGGAGGAAGGGCAGUAGAUUCAUGUUUUGUUCCAGUCCUACAGUCUCAGUUGAAGUUUUUGUUCCAGUCCUACAGUCUCAGUUGAAGUUUUUGUUCCAGUCCUACAGUCUCAGUUGAAGCCUCUGAAUGUUGCAUCCAAGGUCAUCCAGCAAAACACUACUUCAGCGCCAAAGCCAGGAGGCGUCUUCAGCGUUAAAGCCAGGAGGCCUCUUCAGCGUCAAAGCCAGGAGGCGUCUUCAGCGUCAAAGCCAGGAAGCGUCUUCAGAGUCAAAGUCAGGAAGCGUCUUCAGAGUCAAAGCCAGGAAUGAUCUUCAGCGUCAAAGCCAGGAAUGAUCUUCAGCGUCAAAGCCAGGAGGCCUCUUCAGUUGGAUUUCAUUAGAGGUCACAGCUUAGACCUUGUAUAACCCGCAACCAUUUAACCUUUGUUUUCAGAGUUAUAAUGAAAAUCCCCACGCUGUUAAAUUGGCCAAUGCCUGGCUGCAUACCAGAUGCAGUGUGGUCUGGGCUCAGUCAUGCUAAUAAUGCCAAUUAGUGUGUUAAUCAUGGAUUUAUUUAAGUGCAGACAUUCUUUGACCCUGGAUCAUUUGUCAGACCACGAACCUUUGUAAGUGGGAGACCGUCUUAGACGAACGUCAACCUGCGUCACAAAUGGCACCCUAUUCCCUACGUACGGAACUACGGGCCCUGGUUGAAAGUAGUGCACUAUAUACAGUGCCUUUAGGAAAGUAUUCCAAGGCCUUGAAUUUUUCUGUAUUUCGUUGUGUUACAGGCUGAAUAUGAA